rnacentral:lncRNA from 1 species
GAUGGUACAUCAACAGGUUGCUCAGCUUUCACCUCCUGAUUCUCAUAGUUUUCCUCUGUGUUUUCACUUCCCAUCGAGAACUCAGCAUUAUCACUUGCAUAAUAUUGCUCUUCGGAUCCAUUUGACUUCUCAGGUUUCAUUGACUCGGGCUCAGAUUCUGACAGUUCUAAACGGCUAUAAUUGAUACGGUUUCUGGUUGCCCUGUCAAUUGCAUCAUAUUGCUCUUCGGAUCCAUUUGACUUCUCAGGUUUCAUUGACUCGGGCUCAGAUUCUGACAGCUCUAAAUGGCUAUAAUUAAUACGGUUUCUGGUUGCCCUGUUACUGCGUCUUAAACCUGACUGAAGGUUGCCCACUGACCUCAACUUGGUUUCUCUUCUUGUACG